ensembl:lncRNA
UUUUGAGAUGUGUUGAUGCCAUGAAAUUUAAAAUCAACUUAUUUUUCCCUUAAAAUGGUACAUUUUCUCAGUUUAAACAUUUGAUAUGUUAUCUAUGUUGUAUUCUGAAUAAAAUAUUGAAAUUUGAAACUUCCACAUCAUUGCAUUCUGUUUUUAUUCACAAUUUGUACAGUGUCCCAACUUUUUUGGAAUCGGGUUUGUAUUUUCAUUAACUAAUAUUAACAAAGUUUAAUAAAUAGUGUAAUAAAUGUAUUGUUCAUUGUUUGUUCAUGUUAUUGUAAAGUGUUACCAUAAAUACAUACAAGAGCAUAGAACAGGGGCUCCCACCUCUAGCCCUCAAGAUCCACUUUCCUGAGUUUAACUCAAAUUAUCAUCCUGUAACUUUCUAGAAAUCCUGAAGACAUGGAUGAGCUUGUACAGGUUCACUGUAAAAUUUUUUUUAUUAUUAUUUUACGGAAAAUAACUCUAUUUUUUUUACAGUAUUUUCCUGUAAUUUUAAAUUAUGUUUAAAACUAUGUAAAAAUUACUGACAAUAUCUGUAAAUGAACAACUUGACCAUUAUUUUAAAGGGGUCAUAUGAUGCUUAAUUAAAGAUCUUUAUUUUGUGUAUUUGGUGUAACAGAAUAUCUUGACAUGUUUUAAUGUUCAAAAAACACAUUAUUUUUCAAAUACUGUACAUUUAAGAGCUUGACAACCAACGCCACAGCGCAGUGCAUUCUGGGACGUAAACAGGAGGGCAGCAUCAUUUUGUGAGGCCACAUCGGGCAAAACUUAAAACAACCAGUUACUAAACGAAAAUUUAUCAAAAACAAUGUUGAAAAGUGGAUUAAAUUAACAAAAUGUACUACUGUAUAUAGAGACAAAUUUCUACCGAACACAAGAAAGCGGUACCUGGAAAAGAUGGCAUUGAUCGGAAAUCUGGAUCCUUAUGAGGUGCCUGCAAGAGAAUGUACUCGAGACCCCGACGAUUUACAUCCUCUGACAUUUCCAGAUAUUUUUGUAUAUUUAGUCUGUGGUGUGAGUGCUUAUACCAAGGCUCAAUUUCGUAAUUUUAAAUCUAUGGAAGCCCACGUUCAGUUCACAAAUGGCUGGGUCCAUGACUUGGAAGCCUACAAACCGCUGAGUUGUGAAAACACCGCUGUCCGUACAAAGGUUAUGCACUCACAGAGAUUGAAUGAGCCUCCUCUAAAGCCCUGGGUCAUGUGAGCAGCACUGAGAAGGUGGAGUGUGCCCAUUGUACCUGCAUGGCAGGGAUAGCUGAGACCUGUACUAAUGUAGGUGCUCUCUUGUUUAGGUUGGAGGCAACAGUUUGAAUUUGUGGCAUAAAGACUGUCACUGAUAUGCCAGCAUACUGGAUUUUGCCCAGUAACUUAAGCAAGAUUCACCCAGAAGUGGGAUAUAGGAUCAACUACACCUCCUCAGUUGCACAAAGAACAUUAGACCAGCGAAUAAAUACACAGUCCACAGCA